rnacentral:rRNA from 1 species
GAAUAUUGCACAAUGGGGGAAACCCUGAUGCAGCGACGCCGCGUGAGUGAGGAAGUAUUUCGGUAUGUAAAGCUCUAUCAGCAGGGAAGAAAAUGACGGUACCUGACUAAGAAGCCCCGGCUAACUACGUGCCAGCAGCCGCGGUAAUACGUAGGGGGCAAGCGUUAUCCGGAUUUACUGGGUGUAAAGGGAGCGUAGACGGAAUUGCAAGUCUGAUGUGAAAAUCCGAGGCUCAACCCCGGAACUGCAUUGGAAACUGUAUUUCUAGAGUGUCGGAGAGGCAAGUGGAAUUCCUGGUGUAGCGGUGAAAUGCGUAGAUAUCAGGAGGAACACCAGUGGCGAAGGCGGCUUGCUGGGCCGAUACUGACAUUGAGGCACGAAAGCGUGGGGAGCAAACAG